AACUAGCAUAACAACUUUCAGCAG
rnacentral:rRNA from 1 species